CCUACGGGUGGCUGCAGUGGGGAAUAUUGCACAAUGGGCGCAAGCCUGAUGUAGCCAUGCCGCGUGUGUGAAGAAGGCCUUCGGGUUGUAAAGCACUUUCAGCGGGGAGGAAGGCGUUAAGGUUAAUAACCUUGGCGAUUGACGUUACCCGCAGAAGAAGCACCGGCUAACUCCGUGCCAGCAGCCGCGGUAAUACGGAGGGUGCAAGCGUUAAUCGGAAUUACUGGGCGUAAAGCGCACGCAGGCGGUCUGUCAAGUCGGAUGUGAAAUCCCCGGGCUCAACCUGGGAACUGCAUUCGAAACUGGCAGGCUAGAGUCUUGUAGAGGGGGGUAGAAUUCCAGGUGUAGCGGUGAAAUGCGUAGAGAUCUGGAGGAAUACCGGUGGCGAAGGCGGCCCCCUGGACAAAGACUGACGCUCAAGUGCGAAAGCGUGGGGAGCAAACAGGAUUAGAUACCCUUGUAGUC
rnacentral:rRNA from 1 species